rnacentral:rRNA from 1 species
CAGCAGCCGCCGCGGUAAAACGUAGGUGGCAAGCGUUGUCCGGAAUUAUUGGGCGUAAAGGGCUCGCAGGCGGUUUCUUAAGACUGAUGUGAAAGCCCCCGGCUCAACCGGGGAGGGUCAUUGGAAACUGGGAAACUUGAGUGCAGAAGAGGAGAGUGGAAUUCCAUGUGUAGCGGUGAAAUGCGUAGAGAUGUGGAGGAACACCAGUGGCGAAGGCGACUCUCUGGUCUGUAACUGACACUGAGGAGCGAAAGCGUGGGGAGCGAACAGGAUUAGAUACCCCCGUAGUCCCUGUCUCUUAUAA